UCCCUGGUAGCUCAGACGGUAAAGCGUCUACUUACAAUGCAGAAGACCUGGGUUCAAUUCCUGGGUUUGGAA
rnacentral:tRNA from 1 species